GCCGUCUUGCGUUCUGCGGGAUCAAUUGCAAGUAAUGUAUCAAUCAGGGGAAGUGAAGACUGAGGAAAAUCUUUAAAAGUCUCCUUAAUGCAUCGUCUGUAGGGUUCUCGAGGCUUGAAAAGUGUUGCAUUCGGCAACUUGGACUUCUUCCAGUACUCCUCUGAUGGUGAACCACAGAGUUUAUAUAUCUUAUGCAAUUGUUCUACCUCAGUCCGACCAGGCAUAAUGGGUUUUCCAGCCAAUAACUCAGCUAAGA
rnacentral:misc_RNA from 1 species